rnacentral:rRNA from 1 species
UGCCUCAGUAACGGCGAGUGAAGCGGCAACAGCUCAAAUUUGAAAUCUGGCUCCUUGCGGGCCCGAGUUGUAAUUUGUAGAGGAUGCUUCGGGUGCGGCACCGGUCUAAGUCCCUUGGAACAGGGCGUCCUAGAGGGUGAGAGUCCCGUACGUGGCCGCGUGCUUGUGCCCAUGUGAAGCUCCUUCGACGAGUCGAGUUGUUUGGGAAUGCAGCUCAAAAUGGGUGGUAUAUUUCAUCUAAAGCUAAAUAUUGGCCAGAGACCGAUAGCGCACAAGUAGAGUGAUCGAAAGAUGAAAAGAACUUUGGAAAGAGAGUUAAACAGUACGUGAAAUUGUUGAAAGGGAAGCGCUUGCGACCAGACUUGCGCGCGAUCGUUCACCUGGGGUUCGCCCCGGGGCACGCGGUCGCGUUCAGGCCAGCAUCGGUUUUGGCGGCUGGAUAAAGGUGGUGGGAAUGUGGCUCCCCUCGGGGAGUGUUAUAGCCCAUCACGUCAUGCAGCCUGCUGGGACCGAGGACCGCGCUCCGGCGAGGAUGCUGGCGUAAUGGUCGUCAGCGACCCGUCUUGAAACACGGACCAAGGAGUCUAAUAUCUAUGCGAGUAUUUGGGCGUUAACCCCAUAUGCGUAAUGAAAGUGAACGGAGGUGAGAACCCUUAAGGGCGCAUCAUCGACCGAUCCUGAUGUCUUCGGAUGGAUUUGAGUAAGAGCAUAGCUGUUGGGACCCGAAAGAGAGUGAACUUUACGUGGAUAGGGUGAAGUCAGAGGAAACUUCUGAUGGAGGCUCGCAGCGGUUUCUGACGUGCAAAUCGAUUCGUCAAAUUCUGCGUAAAGGGGCGAAAGACUA